rnacentral:rRNA from 1 species
UACAGAGGGGGCGAGCGUUAUUCGGAAUUAUUGGGCGUAAAGGGUGUGUAGGUGGAAUUGUAAGUUGUGUGUGAAAGCCCCAGGCUUAACUUGGGAACUGCAUGCAAUACUGCUUUUCUCGAGCACGAAAGAGGGUAAUGGAAUUCCUAGUGUAGGGGUGAAAUCCGUAGAUAUUAGGAGGAAGGUCAUAGGCGAAGGCGAUUACCUGGGUCGUAGCUGACACUGAGGCACGAAAGCGUGGGGAGCAAAAAGG